rnacentral:tRNA from 1 species
AGAAAAGUAAGCUAAAACAAGCUAAUGGGCUCAUACCCCAUAAAUAGAGUAUAAAGCUCUCUUCUCUG